GUGCCAGCCGCCGCGGUAAUACAGAGGUGGCAAGCGUUGUUCGGAAUUACUGGGCGUAAAGGGCGAGUAGGUGGCCAUCUAAGUCAGACGUGAAAUCCCCCGGCUUAACCUGGGAACUGCGUCUGAUACUGGACGGCUAGAGUAUGGGAGAGGGAUGUAGAAUUCCAGGUGUAGCGGUGAAAUGCGUAGAUAUCUGGAGGAAUACCGGUGGCGAAGGCGGCAUCCUGGACCAUUACUGACACUGAACCGCGAAAGCUAGGGGAGCAAACGGGAUUAGAAACCCCCGUAGUCC
rnacentral:rRNA from 1 species